UGAUCCUGAGCAGGUGAAGAGGGUCCGGCACCUGCCCACUCUGCAAGGCCACAUUGAUAGCUUCAUGAAACCUCCUUGGGGAUGGAGAACUGACCUCAUCAAGAUGGCAUUUUGUGUCACUUACAAGAUGAGAGAUCUUGGUGAAGAUGACAAAGGGAUGAAAAUGGUCUUCAUCAUCAGGACUUCAAAGAGACAUUUCUGCUGAUGUUGAAGGGCCUCUUUGCAGAGG